rnacentral:hammerhead_ribozyme from 1 species
AUCCAGCUGAUGAAUCUCAAAUAAGACGAAACUCUAAUCAUGGAU